rnacentral:rRNA from 1 species
AGUGAAUAGAUACCCUGGUAGUCCACGCUGUAAACGAUGGGUACUAGAUGUUGCAGGAAAUUGACCCCUGCAGUGUCGACGCCAACGCAUUAAGUACCCCGCCUGGGAAGUACGGCCGCAAGGUUAAAACUCAAAGGAAUUGACGGGGGGCCCGCACAAGCGGUGGAGCAUGUGGUUUAAUUCGAUGCAACGCGAAAACCUUACCUGGGUUUGACAUCCCCAGACAGCCGUAGAGAUACGGUUUCCUCUUCGGAGGCUGGGAGACAGGUGCUGCAUGGCUGUCGUCAGCUCGUAUCGUGAGAUGUCGGGUUGAGUCCCUUAACGAGCGCAACCCUUAUCCCUAGUUGCCAUCAUUUAGUUGGGCACUCUAAGGAGACCGCCGGCG